GACGAACGCUGGCGGCGUGCUUAACACAUGCAAGUCGAACGGAAAGGCCCUGCUUUUGUGGGUUUCUCGAGUGGCGAACGGGUGAGUAACACGUGAGUAACCUGCCCUUGACUUUGUGAUAACUUCAGGAAACUGGGGCUAAUACCGGAUAGGAGCUCCUGCUGCAUGGUGUGGGUUGGAAAGUUUCGGCGGUUGGGGAUGGACUCGCGGCUUAUCAGCUUGUUGGUGGGGUAGUGGCUUACCAAGGCUUUGACGGGUAGCCGGCCUGAGAGGGUGACCGGCCACAUUGGGACUGAGAUACGGCCCAGACUCCUACGGGAGGCAGCAGUGGGGAAUAUUGCACAAUGGGCGGAAGCCUGAUGCAGAAACGCCGCGUGCGGGAUGACGGCCUUCGGGUUGUAAACCGCUUUCGCCUGUGACGAAGAGUGAGUGACGGUAAUGGGUAAAGAAGCACCGGCUAACUACGUG
rnacentral:rRNA from 1 species